UGGGUUGGAAGAGACCUUAAAGACCAUCCAGUUCCACCCCCCUUACUGUGGUCAGGGACAUCUUUCUCUAGUCCAGGUUGCUCAGGGCCCCAUCCAGCCUGGCUUUGAGCUGUUCCAAGGAUGGGGCAUCCACAGAUUCUGUGGGCAACCCCUCACCACCCUCACUGCAAGGAAUUGAUUCCUAAUAUCCAGUCUAAAUCUACCCUCUUUCAAUUUAAAGCCAUUCCCCUUUGUGUCCUGACACUACAUGCCCUUGUAAAAAGUCUCCCUCCAUUUGUGGGCUUCCUCCAGAGCCUUUUCUGCAGGCUGAACAACCUGAACUGUCAGCCUUUCCUCAUAGGAGAGGUGCUUAAUCCCUCUGAUCAUCUUUGUGGUCUCCUGUGAGCUCACUCCAAUAGGUCCAUGUCCUUCCUCUGCUGAGGAUCCCAGAGCUGGAUGCAGCAUUGCAGGUGGGAUUGGUGGGGGUCCCACCAGAGCAAAGCAGAGGGGCAGAAUCCCUUCUCUCACCCUGUUGCCCACACUGCUUUGGGUGCAGUACAGGACACAUUUGCCCAUUGCUGGGUUGUGUCCAGCCCCUCAUUUGCCCCAAGUCCUUCUUGGCAGGGCCGCUCUCCCAUCUGUUCAUCCUUCAGCCUGGAUUUGUGCUUGGGAUUGCCCUGAGGUGCAUCACCUUGCACUUGGCCUUGUUGAACUGCUUGAGCUUUGCACAGACCCACUCCUCAAGCCAGUUGAGGUCCCUGUGGAUGGAGGUUCCCUUUCCUCCAGUGUGUUGACUGCACCAACUUGCUGAGGGUCCCCUUGAUCUGAAGGGGUUGCUGUCCUUUCUGUUGGAUUGAAAGUACUUUGGGGUAUUUAAACUACUCAGAUACGUCCUACUCCCACACAGAAGAAUUUAGAUAUUGGUAGCUUUUUCUCUUUACCACUGAGUUACCUAAUAGUGAUGCUUAAGAGCAGUGUUUGUAAUGAUUUAUUGGCAUUUCCAGCAGGUUCUGCAGCCUGUCUUUCCCUAGUGCAAGUGCCUAUGAAGGCCUGCUAGCACCGUUGUGUAAUACCACUCACUCUGUGCAUUCAUCCUCAGUGUUGUUUCUGUAGCAUCUUCGGUAUGGUCAGAGCACAUGGGUGAGAAUUCUAACACUGAAGUUAAUUUAGCAGUGUAUUGGCUGGCAGUGAAAACUAGAACAGGACCUUUAUACCUCUGCCAGGACUUGGAUCCAGCAUUGCACAUUCCACUUUAAAUUUACAUCACUUUAAGCUGCCAAAUGAUGAUGACUAACUACUUAAUCCUAUUUUAAUUUUUUUAUCCAUUUGAGUUCUGAGCAUGAGUUUCCCUCCUGGGACUGUUUCUUGAUUUCCUGGAUGGAUUCAUAGGUGGUUGAUGAAUGGAAGUUGCUGGUGUUUGUCCAUCUGCUACAGCCAGAGUGUAAGUGCUUGAAAACAUCUAUUGUCACAUAGUUGUUAAUGGAGUUCUAGUGGUGUGACAAAAGGUGACCGGCCAUUUCUAGAUAUAUCUUACAUAGCACAAGUGCCAGUGAUUCCUUUGCAAUUCCUUUCUGGAAUGAUAGUCCAGAAAUACUCAGGACCUGUCUCUCCCUGCAGCCAGCAACUAGAAAUUUUGUAUUGUAAAAAGGGGGAGGAAGGGAGGGUGGGUGAAACUUGUAAACUGUGACAAAACAGUAUCUUGACUCCACACUAGCAAAUUCUGGAUAAUAUGCCAUCCAUUUUACAAAUGGCUUUUAAAUUUAAAUUGCAAAAGGGAGAUGGGGUUUGGGCCUUCCCUUAUGUAGAUGAAGUACCACACUAAAUGUUAAGCAAGAAGGUAUCUCUGAUUCCUUCAUAAAAUAAUCUGAAUUACUUGUGGAAAUACAGGACUGAAGUGCAGUUGGGAAGAAAAAAUUAAGAUGACUGGUGAAACACAGGAUGCAAAAGAUUUGGAGCAUCUAUCAGAAGAGGAGAGUUGUGCCUAAUAAAUAUGGAUCUUCCAUUCAUCAGAACCCAAUGACCUUAAUUUCCAGGAUUGCAAAACUGAGUAAGACCCUGCAGUUUGCAAAGCUGGGAAGCAGCAGACUGCUGGGCUGGAGUUGUAUCAGCAGCUGGAAAUACAAGGAAAGAGGAAGAAAUGUUUCCUUCUGGCCCUGGCUCUCCACUUUAUCCCUGCUUUCCCCUCUGUGGGCAUAUACUGGAGUCGGCAGGCAAUUAUAAAGUUCUCUCAUGACUUACCUCUCCUGGCUCUGGCUUUUCACUUCCUGUUGCUGGGGAAGCUGCAGUCCCAAAUCCCUUCCCCUAGGCUCAGUGGUGCUGCCAGAGCGCUGCAGGCAAGCAGAGUUCUAGGAGAUGCACCAUCAGAAAGGCAGGAUUAACUAGCAGCAAAGCAGGGCUGGACACCAGCGAGGUCACAAAGGGCCUGAGAGCAGCAGGAGCUGCUGUGGCUGUACAGCCCUUUCCCAGGCUGAAGCUAUCUGACAAGUGCUGACUGUGGUAAAGUAUUGGCGGUGAUGCUCAGUUAAGGGCACAAGGCUUAGAAAUCGUUCCAGGUGCUGGCUCAGAGAGGCUGCAAAGAAGGCAUUUUUACAGCACUGACCCUGAGGCACCUUCAGCCCGGCUGGAGCCUGUCUCCAUCUCUGGAAGGUGCUGUGGCUGGGGGCCCAAAAGCAACAAAUCAGUGCUGGCAAGUUGUUUGAAGAGCCUGGAGGGUGCACAUCCUCA